rnacentral:sRNA from 1 species
UCAUCAUCUUCUUCUUGUUCUUC